rnacentral:rRNA from 1 species
UACGAAGGGUGCAAGCGUUACUCGGAAUUACUGGGCGUAAAGCGUGCGUAGACGGUAGCGUAAGUCAGAUGUGAAAGCCCCGGGCUCAACCUGGGAAUUGCAUUUGAGACUGCUCUGCUCGGGUGCGGAAGAGGGAAGCGGAAUUUCCGGUGUAGCGGUGAAAUGCGUAGAUAUCGGAAGGAACACCAGUGGCGAAAGCGGCUUCCUGGUCCGACACCGACGUUCAGGCACGAAAGCGUGGGGAGCAAACAGG